GGAGAGGACGCCUACUCGGUAGGGCACCCGGCUGUAACCCGGAGGUCGGCUCGUUCCGUCCUGGUUCGAAUCCAGGUCUCUCCACCA
rnacentral:tRNA from 1 species